rnacentral:rRNA from 1 species
AGAGUUUGAUCAUGGCUCAGAUUGAACGCUGGCGGCAGGCCUAACACAUGCAAGUCGAACGGUAACAGGAAGCAGCUUGCUGCUUCGCUGACGAGUGGCGGACGGGUGAGUAAUGUCUGGGAAACUGCCUGAUGGAGGGGGAUAACUACUGGAAACGGUGGCUAAUACCGCAUAACGUCGCAAGACCAAAGAGGGGGACCUUCGGGCCUCUUGCCAUCAGAUGUGCCCAGAUGGGAUUAGCUUGUUGGUGAGGUAACGGCUCACCAAGGCGACGAUCCCUAGCUGGUCUGAGAGGAUGACCAGCCACACUGGAACUGAGACACGGUCCAGACUCCUACGGGAGGCAGCAGUGGGGAAUAUUGCACAAUGGGCGCAAGCCUGAUGCAGCCAUGCCGCGUGUAUGAAGAAGGCCUUCGGGUUGUAAAGUACUUUCAGCGGGGAGGAAGGUGUUGUGGUUAAUAACCACAGCAAUUGACGUUACCCGCAGAAGAAGCACCGGCUAACUCCGUGCCAGCAGCCGCGGUAAUACGGAGGGUGCAAGCGUUAAUCGGAAUUACUGGGCGUAAAGCGCACGCAGGCGGUCUGUCAAGUCGGAUGUGAAAUCCCCGGGCUCAACCUGGGAACUGCAUUCGAAACUGGCAGGCUUGAGUCUUGUAGAGGGGGGUAGAAUUCCAGGUGUAGCGGUGAAAUGCGUAGAGAUCUGGAGGAAUACCGGUGGCGAAGGCGGCCCCCUGGACAAAGACUGACGCUCAGGUGCGAAAGCGUGGGGAGCAAACAGGAUUAGAUACCCUGGUAGUCCACGCCGUAAACGAUGUCUACUUGGAGGUUGUGCCCUUGAGGCGUGGCUUCCGGAGCUAACGCGUUAAGUAGACCGCCUGGGGAGUACGGCCGCAAGGUUAAAACUCAAAUGAAUUGACGGGGGCCCGCACAAGCGGUGGAGCAUGUGGUUUAAUUCGAUGCAACGCGAAGAACCUUACCUGGUCUUGACAUCCACAGAACCCUGUAGAGAUACGGGGGUGCCUUCGGGAGCUGUGAGACAGGUGCUGCAUGGCUGUCGUCAGCUCGUGUUGUGAAAUGUUGGGUUAAGUCCCGCAACGAGCGCAACCCUUAUCCUUUGUUGCCAGCGGUCCGGCCGGGAACUCAAAGGAGACUGCCAGUGAUAAACUGGAGGAAGGUGGGGAUGACGUCAAGUCAUCAUGGCCCUUACGACCAGGGCUACACACGUGCUACAAUGGCGCAUACAAAGAGAAGCGACCUCGCGAGAGCAAGCGGACCUCAUAAAGUGCGUCGUAGUCCGGACUGGAGUCUGCAACUCGACUCCAUGAAGUCGGAAUCGCUAGUAAUCGUGGAUCAGAAUGCCACGGUGAAUACGUUCCCGGGCCUUGUACACACCGCCCGUCACACCAUGGGAGUGGGUUGCAAAAGAAGUAGGUAGCUUAACCUUCGGGAGGGCGCUUACCACUUUGUGAUUCAUGACUGGGGUGAAGUCGUAACAAGGUAACCGUAGGGGAACCUGCGGUUGGAUCACCU